rnacentral:sRNA from 1 species
AUUUAGCCCCGAUAGAAGCGGCACGAAGUAGAGCGGAUAGCGGGAAAAUGG